ACCUAACAUGCAAAAAUGCCCCUGCCACACAUAAUACUGCUUAAGUUGCCUCUCGUCACCAAUGUACAUAGAAAUAAAGUCAGAAGAUGGAAACAUUAUUAAGCAUUAUGUUGUGUGGUG
rnacentral:ribozyme from 1 species